UUAUUGUACUCACAAGAUAAAAUUGAAAGGUAAGCCCAUCAAUAUCAAAUUUGUCCACAUGGAUAGCUGCAGAUUCUCCCACAACAGGAUCAAAUAUAAGGCUAAAAUCAGUAUAUACAAUAAUAAAACACACUGUCACUAGGUCCUUCUUUCGCCCUAUGCGUUUCCUCCCUCCUUGGACCUCAUCAGGGGAUUCCCAGCGUCUGUAUACCGGGAGUAGAUAACCCCCAUCUUUAAAGGCCUCUUUGGCGCCAUUCUGCAUGGCUAUAGACCAAUCUGAAACGUCCGUUGUUUAGAAACACAUAUUUAGAAUUUCCAUGAUUACUUCCGAGUUCGGAGCGUCUCAAGCCUCAUUUUCGUAUGGAAGCACCGUCAAUUUUCGGCGAAAAAG